rnacentral:rRNA from 1 species
UACGAAGGGGGCUAGCGUUGUUCGGAAUUACUGGGCGUAAAGGGCGCGUAGGCGGUGUGUCAAGUCAGGCGUGAAAGCCCCGGGCUCAACCUGGGAACCGCGCUUGAGACUGGCACGCUCGAGUUCGGGAGAGGAUGGUGAAUUCCCAGUGUAGAGGUGAAAUUCGUAGAUAUUGGGAAGAACACCGAUGGCGAAGGCAGCCAUCUGGACCGACACUGACGCUGAGGCGCGAAAGCGUGGGGAGCAACAGG